rnacentral:lncRNA from 1 species
UGGGGGGUGACACGAGGACGGGGGGGCCGUGGGGAGGUUGGGGGGAGGCCGGGGAGGGGAGGCUGGGCCACGGCGGUCUCCAGGCAGUGCGGGAGCCCCGCUCGCAGCCGGGAUGGCAGCGCCGUGUUUGCCAAGAGUUAAGGAGGCGGAAGAGGCAGGAAGCGGCCCGAGCCGCUCUCCAUAGAAACCCGCGGCCGUGAUUAAAGUCUGAUGCGGGCCCGAUAGCGGGCUGGGGUAGGGGGGGGGGGGGACAGCGCCCGCUUUAAUUACAGCGGAGGAAAUUGCUGGAGCCGGGGCCCCGAGCCCCUGCGAGUUGCUUGGAAACUCCCCCCCCCCCCCUCCCCCCCCCCCCCCCCCCCCCCCCGGCCCCUGCCCGUCCCCUGCCCGUCCCGCUGCCAUUUAUUCGCCAUCAGCUGCUCCCUGAUAAAGUGGAAUAAUAAUAAUAAUAAUAGGGGCAGGAAUAUUAAAACAUGCAGCCCGCGGGCCGCCCCCACAGCUGCCAUGAGACGCGGCGCCGGAGCGGUGCCACUGCUGCUCAACAUGUACCUGCCAGAUCCAGUCGGGGAAACUUUGUUCAAAGACGGCAAGAGCCAGGCGUGGGGGUCCCUCAACCCAGGCGUGCAGAAAGGUAAGAGCCUCCCUGCCCCAUCCCCACAGCAGCAGGGACCCCUUGGGCACACGGAGCCCCCCGCACCCCGUAGCCAAGCCACCUUCCUCUCCGUGUGCCCCAUCCGUCAGGGCUUUCAAAGCUCAGGCCGGGAUGAUUGGCAUCCAAAACCAGAUGGGGAAGGAGCCGAGCCCCCUGACAGCCAUCCUGGUGCAUCAGCGGUGCUGCCAAAGCCCCAUGGGGCAGAGCACGGUGACCCCGGGUCCCCUCCCGGUGCUCCGGGAAUAUCUGAUGGAGAGGGGGCUGCCGGCCAGCCCUGGAGCUGAGGGGGCUCCUCCGGGCUUGGGAGAGCUGGUUCAGGGAGCAGGAGAACGGGGGUGCAACUGGGGAGGGGCUGCUGGGGCACGGGGUGGCUGGGAAGUGAUGGAUCCCCCGGGAGCUGGAGCCUUCCCCUGGGAAAAGCCAUCCCGGGACACGAGGAGCAGCCCGGAGCCUCCUGGGGGGCAUGGGGUUAUGUGGGGCCAGCACCCGUUCAGCUGCCUGGAGAGGGGAUAGGGCUCGGGGCUUGCUCUGAGCUGGAGAAGGGGAGCCCUGGGUUUGGGGUGGGAGCAGGGAGAGGCUGGGGCUGGGGGGGAGCCCUUUUACCUCCGCAUUGCGGACUCUGCCCAGCCAUGCUGUGAGAGCAGAGCCUUUUAGGAUCGCUGCAGGAUCCCCCGGGGAGCCGCAGAGGCAGGACUGAACCUUGCCACCCCACCCCACCCCAUCCCACCCUACCCAGCCGCACCCCCAGCACGGGGUGGGCGCACUGGAGAGGGGAGAAACACCGAGAGGUGCAGGGGGCGAAGGUGUGGGGUGGUUCCUGGUGAAGGCACAGCCUCAGGGAGUCCUGCAGCGGGGUGGCUGGGGGUGCGGUGACCCCAGAGGGGACAUUGGUGCCCGAUUCAGCCCCACAGAGGGUCCCGUCUCACCUGCACCUGCUGGGCAGCCGGGGCUUGGCUCGGGGCAGCAUUGCUCCCCGGUGUCAGCUCCCCCGGGGGGAUCCGUGCCCUUGGAGAUGCCCUAUGGCACCAGCCCAUCUGUGGGGACACGGGAUCAGGCCUCGCUGCGGCUUCUUUCGGCCUCCAGAGCCCCCGUGGGGUCCUCUCCUCCUGCCUCGAGGUGCAGGAUGCCGCAGGGAUGCUGCGGAGGAGACACAAGGAUGCCAACACCCGCGCCCCGAGCGCAGGAAAAACGCACCCGGGGGUGGGAAGGGGGCGACGUGGCAGGGGGCAAAGGGGCACGUCCCAUUCCCGUGCCCUGACGGGGAGCUUUGACCUCUCCGGGGCA